rnacentral:rRNA from 1 species
AUGUGGCACAGCGCCAUCGACUGUGUCCUUCCCCAUCUUCCCCUAGUGCCUCAUGGUGGAAUCCAAGGGAGGGCCAGGCCAUUCACAGCCACCACCCCCUCAGUCCGUUCAGCACCGCCAACCAAGGCCGUUCAACGAGGGGUCGUUCAAAACCAGCGGUCAGAAGCUUUCCACUCGUUUUCUUCUGUCUCUUUAACAUUUUUUUCAAUUUUGGGGACUAGUUGA